rnacentral:rRNA from 1 species
UGUUACCUACGGGGGGCAGCAGUGGGGAAUAUUGCACAAUGGGGGAAACCCUGAUGCAGCGACGCCGCGUGAGUGAAGAAGUAAUUCGUUACGUAAAGCUCUAUCAGCAGGGAAGAAAAUGACGGUACCUGAGUAAGAAGCCCCGGCUAACUACGUGCCAGCAGCCGCGGUAAUACGUAGGGGGCAAGCGUUAUCCGGAUUUACUGGGUGUAAAGGGAGCGUAGACGGUGCGCCAAGUCUGAAGUGAAAGGCAGGGGCUUAACCCCUGAACUGCUUUGGAAACUGCCAUGCUAGAGUGCUGGAGG